rnacentral:ncRNA from 1 species
UCCUUGCAUUGCCGGUGCCAUUUUCCCUGGAAAUAUUUGGGGCAUGGCUGAGAUAACACGGCAGAACUUGAUCUAGUUAGGACUAGCGCAAAGAAAAUGCAAUUUAUUUAUG